GAAUAAUAAAGAGUGAAAUCAAGAAAGUUGACAAAUUAAAACGACUAAGAGGGCGUUUGGUUAAGCUUAUAAGCUGAUCAAACUGACUUCAAAAUACUUUUUAACUUAUCUACGUGUUUGGUAAAAUUAAAAGUGCUUAUAAGCCAAAAUAAGCCAAAAGUCAUAAGUUGGUCUCCCCCAAUUUAUCAAAUUUCAGCUUAUAAGCACUUUACAUUUGACCAAAUUAUUACUAUUUUAUCCCUAAAAAUACUUGUUUACGUGGAAUUUCCUUCUUUUUUUUUUCCCUGCUCGUAAAUUGUUCAUUGGUGACUAUCUCGUUCUUCUCUGCUCGUGGCUCUAUGUGUAAUUGAUUUAUAUGGGAGCACAUACACAUGUGCUAUAACACACUGUUAGCUUUUACUCUUUACUUUCAGACUAUUUUUUUUAAUAUGUUGAGUUAUAUUCUUUCAAAUAUUAUUGAUUAAUUACAUGCUAUUGUAUGUUCCCUUCAUGCGUUCUGCACUCAAUAUCUUUGUUCUAAAAUCUACAGUUACAUUAGCUUGUACCUAUAAUCCCCAUGUGACUAUAUUAAGUGCAUGUUUCUGUUUCAAUUUAUGAUUGUAUACUUAUUGUAACAUAAAUGAUAUUUAUAAAAAAUGAUAUUAUCUAAUCAUUU
rnacentral:lncRNA from 1 species